ensembl:snRNA U6 U6 spliceosomal RNA
GUGCUCGCUUCGGCAGCACAUAUACUGAAAUUGGUAUGAUGCAGAGAAGAUUAGCACGGCCCCUGCACAAGGAUGCCACACAAAUUCAUGAAGCUUCAGUAUCUUUA